AGUCACUGACAUUAGAUACCCGUGUAGUCCAGGGUGUAAACGCUGCAGACUUGGUGUUGGAAGUCCUUUGGGGGCAUUCAGUACCGGAGAGAAGUUGUUAAGUCUGCUACUUGGGGAGUACGUCCGCAAGGAUGAAACUUAAAGGAAUUGGCGGGGGAGCACCGCAACGGGAGGAGCGUGCGGUUUAAUUGGAUUCAACACCGUAAACUCACCAGGGAAGACUGUUACAUGAAAGCCGAGAUGAAGACUCUGCUAGAUUUUCAG
rnacentral:rRNA from 1 species